CCGUAGCUCAGUUGGUAGAGCAACUGACUCUUAAUCAGUGGGUCUAGGGUUCGAAUCCCUA
rnacentral:tRNA from 1 species